GGGCUGGUUCUUCUGGAUUCUGAGUGGAAGCCUGUUCUUCAGGGCUUUCUUGAGGCUUAUGUGAUUUCUUCAGACACAAACACAGCAGCUCAGAACAUUGGUCAGAGAUUCAUGGUCUUCAAGCUAGGAGAAUUCAGAAGGAACUGAGAACCCCAGAGCAGGCUAGAGGGAUCAGCUAGCUUCUGCCAAGACACUCCUUUCCCUUUCAUCUCGGAGCCCCCCCCCCCUUCCCGGAAUUCUGAUUUUGACCCCAGCUCUCCAGAGAAAUGCCUCUUCUUUGGUCCCAUACACUCUCUCUUCCUUCCAGGCAAGACUGCAAGACUGUCUUCCCUGGGUCAUAGAAGCAGUACCCACUCCCAUCCCAUGCCAGGGCCACAGAGGGAGCCCACCAAGGCUACAGAAAGAUUCUGUUAUCCCCUCAGAUCCACAGGGAUACCAAGAACACAACAGGGUCAAAGAAGCAGCUUCCAGUCCCGGAAGGGCCACAGAGGGUAGAUACACCAGAGCACUCUAGUUCUCCCCUCUGGAAGCUUUCCACCUUUCUUGGUUCCCAUGGAGAGACAGCCGCUGCUCCAGGACCUGAACAUGGCACUGCCGGUUAGCAUGUGACUUUUCUUUCUGAUCCUGGGCAAGUGACAACUUUUCAGGGUCACAGUACCCCCAUACUAGAUAGGAGCGUGGAUCCCUCAUUGUAUCUCUUUGCUCACACCCGCUUCCAUAUCUGCAUGAAGUUGGCUAGAAGGUCCUGGGGAUAUCUUACAGCUCCAGAAGCUACACAGACUAUAAUCCAAUUUAUUUCCUCCACUGACACAGAUCUCCAAUUCUGUCAGCCUAAAUAAAUAGUUACAUGUGGUCA
rnacentral:lncRNA from 1 species